AGAUUGAACGCUGGCGGCAUGCCUUACACAUGCAAGUCGAACGGUAGAGUAGCAAUACUUGAGAGUGGCGAACGGGUGAGUAAUAUAUCGGAACGUGCCCAGUCGUGGGGGAUAACGUAGAGAAAUUUACGCUAAUACCGCAUACGAUCUAAGGAUGAAAGCGGGGGACCGUAAGGCCUCGCGCGAUUGGAGCGGCUGAUAUCAGAUUAGGUUGUUGGUGAGGUAAAAGCUCACCAAGCCGACGAUCUGUAGCUGGUUUGAGAGAACGACCAGCCACACUGGGACUGAGACACGGCCCAGACUCCUACGGGAGGCAGCAGUGGGGAAUUUGGACAAUGGGCGAAAGCCUGAUCCAGCAAUGCCGCGUGCAGGAAGAAGGCCUUCGGGUUGUAACUGCUUUGUACGGAACGAAACGGUCUGCUUUAAUACGAGUGGCUAAGUGUACGGUACGUAAGAAUAAGACACCGGACUAACUACGUGACUAGCAACCGAC
rnacentral:rRNA from 1 species